rnacentral:rRNA from 1 species
CGGCCACAAUGGGACUGAGACACGGCCCCAUACUCCUACGGGGGGCAGCAGUAAGGAAUUGUCGCAAUGGGCGCAAGCCUGACGACGCAACGCCGCGUGGAGGACGAAGACUUUCGGGUUGUAAACUCCUGUCGAGUCGGGAAGAACAGCUUGUGGGUUAAUACCCCAUAGGCCUGACGGUACCGUUAAAGGAAGCCCCCGGCUAACUCCGUGCCAGCAGCCGCGGUAA